UGUGCCAGCAGCACAGCCCACUGCCCUCAGGACUUCUUCAUAGGCUGCUCAUAGUCGGUGUAGCAGUCUGUCCCAGUCAGCACACAGCAUGGACGUGAGGAUCCCUGCUCAGCUCCUGGGGCUCCUGCUGCUCUGGCUCCCAGGUGCUCGUUGUGAUGUCCAGUUGACCCAGUCACCAUCCCUGUCUACAUCUCUGGGAGAGAGAAGCACCAUCACUUGCAAAGCCAGUCAGAUCAUUAGCAAUUAUUUACAUUCUUACCAGCAGAGAGCAAGGAAAGCUCCAAAGCUCCUGAUCUAUUUUGCACCUACUUGGCAAUCUGGGGUCCCAUGGAGGUUCAGUGGAUGUGGAUCAGGCACAGAGUUCACUCUCAGCAUCAGCAGCCUGCAGCCUGAAGAUUUUGCCACUUACUACUGUCAGCAGGAAGGUGUCCAGAAUUCAGGAUCAUCAAUAGCAUCUCCGAGAGCAUGUUACCAAUACAAUAUUACAAAUCCACUUCACAUCUACUGAAUGUUAAUCUGCAUUUCAGCAAGUUAACAAGUAAUCUCGGAUCAAGUGGAGAUGUUGUGGUGACCCAGACUCCACUCCCCUUGCUUGUCACCCUAGGAGAGCCAGCCUCCAUCUCUUGCAGGUCUAUUCAGAACUUUCUAUAUAGCAAUGGAAACACAUAUUUGAAAUGGUUCCUGCAGAAGCGAGGGCAGUCUCCACAACUCCUGAUCUAUGAGGUUUCCAACUGAGAAUCUGGGAUCUCAGAAAGAUUCAGUGGC